rnacentral:rRNA from 1 species
CUACGGGUGGCUCCAGUGGGGAAUAUUGCACAAUGGGCGCGAGCCUGAUGCAGCCAUGCCGCGUGUAUGAAGAAGGCCUUCGGGUUGUAAAGUACUUUCAGCGGGGAGGAAGGGAGUAAAGUUAAUACCUUUGCUCAUUGACGUUACCCGCAGAAGAAGCACCGGCUAACUCCGUGCCAGCAGCCGCGGUAAUACGGAGGGUGCAAGCGUUAAUCGGAAUUACUGGGCGUAAAGCGCACGCAGGCGGUUUGUUAAGUCAGAUGUGAAAUCCCCGGGCUCAACCUGGGAACUGCAUCUGAUACUGGCAAGCUUGAGUCUCGUAGAGGGGGGUAGAAUUCCAGGUGUAGCGGUGAAAUGCGUAGAGAUCUGGAGGAAUACCGGUGGCGAAGGCGGCCCCCUGGACGAAGACUGACGCUCAGGUGCGAAAGCGUGGGGAGCAAACAGGAUUAGAUACCCUAGUAGUC